UGAAAAAAGUUAUAGGGGCUAUAGGAUUGGCUUGAAACUAAUCUUAGGGGGUUCGACUCUCUCCUUUUUCAU
rnacentral:tRNA from 1 species